GUCUACGGCUAUACCACCCUGAACAUGCCAGAUCUCAUCUGAUCUCAGAAGCUAAGCAGGGUAGGGCCUGGUUAGUACUUGGAUGGAAGACUGCCUGGGAAUACCAGGUGCUGUAGGCU
ensembl:rRNA 5S_rRNA 5S ribosomal RNA